rnacentral:rRNA from 1 species
AAGGCCUUGCGUUAUUCGAGCGGCCGACGUCUGAUUAGCUAGUUGGUGGGGUAAAGGCCUACCAAGGCGACGAUCAGUAGCGGGUCUGAGAGGAUGAUCCGCCACACUGGAACUGAGACACGGUCCAGACUCCUACGGGAGGCAGCAGUGGGGAAUUUUGGACAAUGGGGGCAACCCUGAUCCAGCCAUUCCGCGUGAGUGAAGAAGGCCUUCGGGUUGUAAAGCUCUUUCGGCCGGAACGAAAUCGCAUCUUCUAAUACGGGGUGUGGAUGACGGUACCGGAAGAAGAAGCACCGGCUAACUACGUGCCAGCAGCCGCGGUAAUACGUAGGGUGCGAGCGUUAAUCGGAAUUACUGGGCGUAAAGCGUGCGCAGGCGGCUCUUCAAGUCAGAUGUGAAAGCCCCGGGCUUAACCUGGGAACU